GCCGCUAUGGUGAAAUGGUAGACACGCUGCCCUUAGGAGGCAGUGCGCGAGCAUCUCGGUUCGAGUCCGAGUGGCGGCA
rfam:Klebsormidium nitens chloroplast DNA, contig: KFL_3730.